AUGUGAAUUGCAGAAUUCAGUGAAUCAUCGAGUUUUUGAACGCACCUUGCGCUCCUUGGUACUCUGAGGAGCAUGCCUGUUUGAGUGUCAUUAAAUUAUCAAAAUUGUCACGAUAGUGGUGAUUUUGGAUUAUGGGAGUUGCAGGACCGUUGUUAGAGGGUCAAGCUCUCCUGAAAUGGAUUAGUAGAGCAAAAUGGAACUCUGUUGGUGUGAUAAGGAAAUUGAUCGUCAGAAAGAGUAACCAAAAGGCUUUGCUAUGUUGUUAUGAAAUGAUUUUUGAAAAUUGACCUCAAAUCAGGUAG
rnacentral:rRNA from 1 species